GCCUCUGUGGACUAUGGCAGUCACCUAAGCUCGAUUUGGAGCUGAUAUCUUCGUACUUGAGGAGGCGGGGGUUCGAUUCCCUCCGGAGGCU